rnacentral:misc_RNA from 1 species
AACCAUAGAAACCUGCGGAGUACCUGCGGAAGGAUCAUUACAGAGUUAUCCAACUCCCAAACCCAUGUGAACUUAUCUCUUUGUUGCCUCGGCGCAAGCUACCCGGGACCUCGCGCCCCGGGCGGCCCGCCGGCGGACACACCAAACUCUGUUAUCUUCGUUGAUUAUCUGAGUGUCUUAUUUAAUAAGUCAAAACUUUUAACAACGGAUCU